rnacentral:rRNA from 1 species
UACGUAGGGUGCGAGCGUUGUCCGGAAUUAUUGGGCGUAAAGAGCUUGUAGGCGGUUUGUCGCGUCUGCCGUGAAAAUUCGAGGCUCAACCUCGAACUUGCGGUGGGUACGGGCAGACUAGAGUGUGGUAGGGGAGACUGGAAUUCCUGGUGUAGCGGUGAAAUGCGCAGAUAUCAGGAGGAACACCGAUGGCGAAGGCAGGUCUCUAGGCCACUACUGACGCUGAGAAGCGAAAGCAUGGGGAGCGAACAGG